ensembl:lncRNA novel transcript
AGUGAUGCUGCGGCCGCUUCGCACUGUGGCUCCUGCCGACCGCCAGGCGCUGUUACAGUGGAUGCGAACUAACCGUAAGUCAUUAUAUCGUACUGCAGAAACCAGCUCAACUAUGCAAAACUACCACCAGGACUGGCCGACACCAGGAGGGAUUCCAGAGACCACACUGCAGGGAGCAUACAGAAAGAAAAUUAAGAGAUCAGAUGCAGCAGCAGCCGGAACCCACAGUUCACCUUGGUGCAUUCCUUUAUGAUGAAGACUUAUUGAUUCAUUAUAUGAGAAAGGAAAAAUGAGCAGAAACUACUGUAUGAUGUGCAGCUCACACCAGACAGCAACUUUAGGUAGGCACUUAGGUGCUUCAUGCAGACAUCUGUACACCAGAUUUACUUCUGCAAAAUGCUGAUGCUAUGAAUAAUGCUUUUGAAUAUUAAUAAGGCAAAACAGACCA